rnacentral:rRNA from 1 species
GCUUGUCUCAAAGGUUAAGCCAUGCAAGUCUAAGUGCGAGCUCUCGUACGGCGAAACUGCGAACGGCUCAUUAAAUCAGUUACGGUUCAUUUGAUCGUAGACGCACGUCGCACGUGGAUAACUGUGGCAAUUCUAGAGCUAAUACAUGCUAAAGGUGCCGACGCCGACCCUUUCGCGAGGGCCGGCGAAGGCGCGCAUUUAUCAGACCUCGCCGGCCCGGCUCGCGAGAGCCGGUCCCCGUGGUGACUCUGGAUAACUGAGCGGAUCGCGCGCUUCCUCGACGAAGGCGACGGAUCAUUCGAGUGUCUGCCCUAUCAACUCGAGUCGGUACGGUCUCGGCCUACCGCGGUGGUGACGGGUGACGGGGAAUCAGGGUUCGGUUCCGGAGAGGGAGCCUGAGAAACGGCUACCACUUCCAAGGAAGGCAGCAGGCGCGCAAAUUACCCAUUCCCGACGCGGGGAGGUAGUGACGAAAAAUAACGAUGCGGGACUCUGAACGAGCGCCCGCAAUCGGAAUGAGCACAUCGCAAAGCAGUGCGGACGCGCGGCGCCGUCUCGCGGCGGCGCUCGCGCGCGCGAGUAUCGAUUGGAGGGCAAGUCUGGUGCCAGCAGCCGCGGUAAUUCCAGCUCCAAAAGUGUACGCUUAAGUUGUUGCGGUUAAAAAGCUCGUAGUUGGAAUUGGCGCCGGCGUCGCCCGGCCGUCCGCCCUCGCGGGCGCGCACGGCCGGCCGCCGCGCUUUCGGCCGCCGGGCCGCGCUUUCCUUGACCGGACGGCGCGCGCGUCCGGCGCCGGUUUUACUUUGAAAAAAUUAGAGUGUUCAAAGCAGGCCCGCACGAGGCCCGGAUAACGACGCACGGAAUAGCGGAAGAGGGCCCCUCCCUCGACCGCCGGCAACCCAGACGAGACGAGAGGCAAUGAUCGAGAGGGACGGACGGGGGCAUUCGUACCGCGCCGUUAGAGGUGAAAUUCUUGGAUCGGCGCGAGACGGACCGAGGCGAAGGCGUCUGCCGAGGACGUUUUCCUUAAUCAAGAGCGAAAGUCGGAGGUUCGAAGACGAUCAGAUACCGUCCUAGUUCCGACCGUAAACGAUGCCGGCCCCGGGCCGCCGCCUGCCUGCAGCUUCGAGUCGAGGCGGCGGCGGACCGGUCGAGGGAAACCAGAGCGUCUGGGUUCCGGGGGAAGUAUGGUCGCAAAGCUGAAACUUAAAGGAAUUGACGGAAGGGCACCACCAGGAGUGGAGCCUGCGGCUUAAUUUGACUCAACACGGGGAAACUCACCCGGCCCGGACACGGCGAGGAUUGACAGAUCGAGAGCUCUUUCUCGAUUCCGUGGGUGGUGGUGCAUGGCCGUUCUUAGUUGGUGGAUCGAUUUGUCUGGUUAAUUCCGAUAACGAACGAGACUCUGACCUGCUAAAUACCCGGCCGCUCUCUGACCGGUCGCCGUCGCGCGGGCUCGCUCGCCGGCCGGCGGCCUCGACGGAGCGAACCGCCGGCGUUCUUAGAGGGACAGGCGGCGUUCAGCCGCACGAGAUUGAGCAAUAACAGGUCUGUGAUGCCCUUAGAUGUUCGGGGCCGCACGCGCGCUACACUGGUCGGAUCAGCCGGAGCCUCUUCGCUCGAGAUCCCGGCUCGAAAGGCCCGGGAAAUCCGGCAACCCCGACCGUGCUCGGGAUAGGGAAUUGCAAUUGUUUCCCUCGAACGAGGAAUUCCCAGUAGGCGCGAGUCAUCAGCUCGCGUCGAUUACGUCCCUGCCCUUUGUACACACCGCCCGUCGCUACUACCGAUCGAGCGUUUUAGUGAGGUCCUCGCAUCGGCCUGCCGCCGCCGUUCGCGCGGAGGCGGCUCGUCGAGAAGACGAUCGAACUUGAUCGCUUAGAGGAAGUAAAAGUCGUAACAAGGUUU